GACGAACGCUGGCGGCGUGCUUAACACAUGCAAGUCGAACGGAAAGGCCCUGCUUUUGUGGGGUGCUCGAGUGGCGAACGGGUGAGUAACACGUGAGUAACCUGCCCUUGACUUUGGGAUAACUUCAGGAAACUGGGGCUAAUACCGGAUAGGAGCUCCUGCUGCAUGGUGGGGGUUGGAAAGUUUCGGCGGUUGGGGAUGGACUCGCGGCUUAUCAGCUUGUUGGUGGGGUAGUGGCUGACCAAGGCUUUGACGGGUAGCCGGCCUGAGAGGGUGACCGGCCACAUUGGGACUGAGAGACGGCCCAGACUCCUACGGGAGGCAGCAGUGGGGAAUAUUGCACAAUGGGCGGAAGCCUGAUGCAGCAACGCCGCGUGCGGGAUGACGGCCUUCGGGUUGUAAACCGCUUUCGCCUGUGACGAAGCGUGAGUGACGGUAAUGGGUAAAGAAGCACCGGCUAACUACGUG
rnacentral:rRNA from 1 species